rnacentral:rRNA from 1 species
UACGUAGGGGGCUAGCGUUGUCCGGAUUUAUUGGGCGUAAAGAGCGUGUAGGCGGCCAUGUAGGUCCGGUGUGAAAACUCGAGGCUUAACCUCGAGAUGUCAUCGGAAACCAUUUGGCUAGAGUCCGGAAGAGGAGAGUGGAAUUCCUGGUGUAGCGGUGAAAUGCGUAGAGAUCAGGAAGAACAUCGGUGGCAAAGGCGCUCUGCUGGACCAUAACUGACACUCAGGGACGAAAGCUAGGGGAGCGAAUGGG